rnacentral:rRNA from 1 species
AACGAACGCUGGCGGCAUGCCUAACACAUGCGAGUCGAACUAGACCUUCAGGUCUAGUGGCGCACGGGUGCCUAACGCGUGGGAAUCUUCCCUUGGGGUCGGAAUAACAGUUGGAAACGACUGCUAAUACCGGAUGAUUACGUAAGUCCAAAGAUUUAUCGCCCAAGGAUGAGCCCGCGUAGGAUUAGCUAGUUGGUAAGGUAAAGGCUCACCAAGGCGACAAUCCUUAGAUGGUCUGAGAGGAUGGUCAGCCACACUGGGACUGAGACACGGCCCAGACUCGUCCGGGAGGCAGGAGUGGGGAAUAUUGGACCAUGGGCGAAGGCCUGAUCCAGCACUGCCGCGUGAAUGAUGAAGGCCUUAGGGUUGUAAAGCUCUUUUACCCGGGAUGAUAAUGACAGUACCGAGAGAAUAAGCUCCGGCUAACUCCGUG